rnacentral:ncRNA from 1 species
UUUUGGCGUACAACGAUGGGGACGUGUCCCCGAUGUCGUGCCAAUGGGAAUGAGCCUCAGUAAUAGCGUGAGCAAUCACGGAAAACUGAAAUAUAUAACGUGGGGUAGAGUUUAGUAGGGACAGAAUGUCAGCCGAAAAAGUUAGGCCCC